rnacentral:lncRNA from 1 species
UAUAUAAAUAAUAUUUAAAAAAAUAAAUAAUAUUAAUUUCAAAAAAAAUAAUAGCUACUAACAAAUCUAGGAUUAUUUUAACAAAAAACCAUGAAUUAUUGGUAACAAAUCAAUAAUAAAUUUUUGAAACAAAUAAAUCAAACAAUUUUAGGAAUAAAUAAUCAUAUAAACCUCAAAUAUAUAAUUUACAUAAUUUUCAUAACUAAAAAAACCCGAAAAUAUGGAAAAAAAAAACCAAAAAUAGGAAACAAAAAAAGAAGAAAAAAAGGAAAUAAAAACAACCGAAAAAUAGGAAACAAAAAAAGCGAAAAAAAAGGAAACAAAAACAACCCAAAAUAUAGGAAGCAAAAACAAACCAACAAAUUGGAAACAAAAACAACGAAAAAUACAAAGGAUAAAUUAGUAAAUACAAACAUCACAAAAAACCGCCCCA